rnacentral:tRNA from 1 species
CGCCGGGAUGGGCGAGCGGCUCUACGAGGCCUACGAGGUGUUCGCCGACGCGGUGGACGCGGCCUGCGCGCGGUUCGACGCCCUGCUCGGCGC